AUGCAAUUCAAAUUCCUCUUCAUGAAGCAAACCACAGUGAAAUAAUACAUGCAAUUCAAAUUCCUCUACAUGAAGCAAACCACAGUGAAAUAAUGCCUGAAAUUCAAAUUCCUCUUCAUGAAGCAAACCACAGUGAAAUAAUGCCUGAAAUUCUAAUAUGCUAGUGAGUAAUUAUUUUUUUAAUGGAUUAGUAAAUUUUGGUUGCUAUUAUCAUUAAUAUAUGCUUUGGAAGAUAUAUCGCAUUGUAUUACUUUUAAUAUGCAUUUUAUUAGUACUGAAGUUUCAAACUUUGUACUGUAACUAUUGUGUUUUUAACCUAAUAGAUGGCUGUGUCAGCCAAAUAUUGUGAGACUUAUGGCUGCAGCAAAAACAGACAUGUAUUCUGAUGGCAAGUGAAUACAGCCAUGGAGCCAGUUUGGAUGACACACUUCACAGAAAUGAUGGCCCAGUAAAGCGAACACAGUGGUUCCUAUCGUGAGGUUCUGUGGCUGGUACAGGCUGUCGAUUAUGGAAGAGUCGAAGGUUCCAUCCCAGACUACAGUUGCUAACCAAGGGGUGACCGUCAUCACAUCCGAUCUCCUGGAGAAGAAGACACACUUCACUGUCCGUUAUCAUAUCAGGCAGUUCAUCAUUGUGACUAGUUUCAUGACUAUGCAGUCAAAAGGUAUUUCUACAGAGUCACCUCUAACAGACUGGCUACCAACCAGUUUUAGAGUUAUAAGCAUUACUAAUACCCAUGUUUCUGGGUUUGUCUAUACAAGAGAUGAACUAAACAAUGUGCUAGAGUGUCACACGAGGGCCACUUUGACAUCUUUCACUGUCUGAACAAGUAUGUGAGCUAGGAGAUGGGCAUGUUCAGGUGAAGAGUGAGAUGUCAGCUGAGUGGUAUACUGUUGAUCUGGGUGAUGAAGACAGAUUUCCAUUUUGCCACUCAUCAGAUGAAUCAGCUGUAGGGAAGAAAUGCGGUCAAUUGAGCAACUCCACAAAGGAUGUCUCUGAAGCAGACAGACUACUGGCAGAGCUGAACGAUCACCAGCAUGUAGUUGUUCAAAGGGACAGACAGGUCAGAUACCAUGUGUAUGGGGAAGUACAGGGACUUUGAUACUCUGCAGCAUCCUAACUGGCUGAAUGACAAGGUUCAACUGUACAAGUUUACAUGGAUAUUUGUUCCCAUCAACGUCAAUGCAAAUCUUUGGGUACUUCUAGCAGCAAACAUUCCACAAAUGGAAGUUUCAAUAUUGGAUUCCUUGCCUAGAAACAACAACAUCCAGUACGUGGAAAUGUGGAGGUGUGUAAUGGUUGUCAUAAAAGAUUGAAUACUUUGAUGCUUAAGAACUCAAGCCAUGUAAAUCAGAUUGUACCUUCAAUCUCUCUCCCGCUCUGUUCCUCCUCUGCAUGCCGACUGGUCUCGCCUUCCCUCAACUGUUCUACUGCCCUUGCUCGUUCCUUUUCCUCUCUUGCUCCCCAGUGGAGGAACCAGCUGCCUGUGAGCAUCAGAACUACACUGUGCAACACCACGUUCCGACACCUCCUCAAAACUCAUCUGUUUAGACUCCACUUGUAAAUCCUGCAAAAUUUCUCUUCUGCCUUUUUCUAUCAUUUUUCUGUACUGUCCUAUUUAAUCUGCUGCCAUGUUUUUCUAUGUUUUUAUUUACUCUGUGCUUUUUAGUGUUCAUUGUUGUCUGUGGCUAAAUUUAUUAUAGUGAUGUUGAAGUUGCUACAUGUUAUUGUUGAUUUUAUAUUAGAUUGUA